AUCCAGUUGAAGUGUCCCAAAAAGGACGAAAUGAGCGUCCUGUAU
rnacentral:hammerhead_ribozyme from 1 species